AUUGCUUCUUGGACUUUUGGCUAAGAUCAAGUCUAGUAUCUGUUCUUAUCAGUUACGGUAGAUAGAAAACAUUGUCUGAUGUAUUCCAUCAACAGAGCACUGGGAUAUAAGACAUGCCUUUCUAGUUUCUGGCAGCUUUU
ensembl:snRNA U2 U2 spliceosomal RNA